UAAUUUCUAGAUGACAAUUUUUAAAUUUAGAAUCAUGUAAGAAAGGAAACUCAUUGAAAAAAAAAACAUCCAUUAUUUUUGCAAACUCCUGAUUUGAAAAAAAUUCUCGUUUUGUAGUCUGGUAAUCGAUUGACUUUAUUCCAUGGGAGUAGGUUCUUUUUUCAAAGUUUUUGGAAUGUAGGGUUUCAUGUACUUUGUUUAGUUCUUAUUUUUAAAAAAUGUAACAAGA
ensembl:ncRNA ZK512.16 ncRNA